rnacentral:lncRNA from 1 species
ACCAGAUGCUCCGCAGGGCGUAGCUUUAUACGACCGCAGAGGUUGAACCCUGAAUGGUUGGGGCAAGUAUGGACACAACAUUCAAGCUGGAUUCAGCUCUAAAUUUGGAUUGUGAUUAAAUAGUUGACACAGCAUAGGUUUCUGACACAGAAUGAAUGUGUUCUAAUGAACUUAAAAUUUUUGUUUUCUCUUAGAGCAAUUCACUAUAUGCUGUUGAAUAUUAAUCCUCUCAAAAAAAUGUUUGAAGAAAUUUUCUUUUUUAUUUAUGAAAUUUCAAAUGAGA